rnacentral:rRNA from 1 species
UGGGGAAUAUUGGGCAAUGGGCGAAAGCCUUACCCAGCAACGCCGCGUGAGGGAAGAAGGUUUUCGGAUUGUAAACCUCUGUCCUGGGGGACGAAGGAAGUGACGGUACCCCGGGAGGAAGCCCCGGCUAACUACGUGCCAGCAGCCGCGGUAAUACGUAGGGGGCGAGCGUUGUCCGGAAUUAUUGGGCGUAAAGGGCGCGUAGACGGCCGAGUAAGUUAUAGGUGAAAGCCCAUCUUUCAAGGAUGGAAUUGCCUGUAAUACUGCCUGGCUUGAGUGCAGGAGAGGAGGCGGAAUUCCUAGUGUAGCGGUGAAAUGCGUAGAUAUUAGGAGGAACACCAGUGGCGAAGGCGGCUUUCUGGACUGUAACUGACGUUGAGGCGCGAAAGCGUGGGGAGCAAACAGGAUUAGAUUUACC